rnacentral:rRNA from 1 species
UGCAGAGGGGGCAAGCGUUGUUCGGAAUUACUGGGCGUAAAGGGCGCGUAGGCGGCCUGUUAAGUCGAACGUGAAAUCCCUGGGCUCAACCCAGGAACUGCGUCCGAUACUGGCAGGCUUGAAUUCGGGAGAGGGAUGCGGAAUUCCAGGUGUAGCGGUGAAAUGCGUAGAUAUCUGGAGGAAUACCGGUGGCGAAGGCGGCAUCCUGGACCGGCAUUGACGCUGAGGAGCGAAAGCCAGGGGAGCAAACGGG